rnacentral:rRNA from 1 species
UACGAAGGGUGCAAGCGUUACUCGGAAUUACUGGGCGUAAAGCGUGCGUAGGUGGUUCGUUAAGUCUGAUGUGAAAGCCCUGGGCUCAACCUGGGAAUUGCAUUGGAUACUGGCGGGCUAGAGUGCGGUAGAGGAUGGCGGAAUUCCCGGUGGUAGCAGUGAAAUGCGUAGAGAUCGGGAGGAACAUCUGUGGCGAAGGCGGCCAUCUGGACCAGCACUGACACUGAGGCACGAAAGCGUGGGGGAGCAAACAGG